GACGAACCGAGCGAACGUUGUUCGGAAUCACUGGGCUUAAAGGGCGCGUAGGCGGGCUGCCAAGUUUGGGGUGAAAUCCUCCGGCUCAACCGGGGAAGUGCCUCGAAUACUGGCGGUCUGGAGGGAGGUAGGGGCGUGCGGAACUAACGGUGGAGCGGUGAAAUGCGUUGAUAUCGUUAGGAACUCCGGUGGCGAAGGCGGCACGCUGGACCUUUUCUGACGCUGAGGCGCGAAAGCCAGGGGAGCGAACGGG
rnacentral:rRNA from 1 species